AGGCCGUGAUGCAGACACUUGUGUAAUAACUCCUUGAACCUUUCCCAAGUUUCAUAUAAGGAUUCCCCGUCCUCUUGUGAAUAUGUAUUGAUUUCAGUCAUUAAUUU
rnacentral:snoRNA from 1 species